rnacentral:rRNA from 1 species
GAUGAACGCUAGCGGGAGGCUUAAUACAUGCAAGUCGAACGGCAGCAGUCUGAACCUAGUUCGGAGCUGGCGAGUGGCGCACGGGUGAGUAACGCGUACACAACCUACCUUUAAGAGGGGGAUAGCCCUGGGAAACUGGGAUUAAUACCCCAUAGUAUCAUAAAUAGGCAUCUAUUAAUGAUUAAAGUUGAGGCGCUUAAAGAUGGGUGUGCGUACUAUUAGCUAGUUGGUAAGGUAAUGGCUUACCAAGGCUACGAUAGUUAGGGGGCGUGAGAGCGUGACCCCCCACACGGGUACUGAGACACGGACCCGACUCCUACGGGAGGCAGCAGUAAGGAAUAUUGGACAAUGGGCGAAAGCCUGAUCCAGCCAUCCCGCGUGCAGGAUGACGGCCCUAUGGGUUGUAAACUGCUUUUGUUAGGGAAGAAACCUAUCUUUUUAAAGAUAGCUGACGGUACCUUUCGAAUAAGCACCGGCUAACUCCG